UCUGGGCAAUCGUAUUGGUUCC
rnacentral:sRNA from 1 species